CCAUGCUGGCUCUAUUUCUUUUCCUAAAUACUCCUCAUCAGGAGAAUGAGUCGAUAAAACAUCAAGAAUAGCCAUAACUUUAGUAGCUUGAAUCUGGGAAGGGAAGGUAUUCAAAAGUGCAUUUUCAGGUUUUUCAAGGAAGAAUUUCCAUUGUUCAUCAGAUGGAUCUUCAGUGGCAAUGUUGCAUCUUGCAGUGGUUGGCCUAUUGGGGAAAUAGCCUCCGUAAGUGUAUUGGCCGAAGUUAACAGCUGCGUGGUGACCAGAUGUUACCCAAACAAUAGUUGUGAUGAUUUCAAUUAAAUCCUUAGGGGUUUUCAAGACAGGCCACCAAGGUUCAUGUUUCUUGUCACCGUGUCCCACAGUUCGAAUUUCAGUCCACCAAGCUUGGAGCUCUUCAUCAGAUUCUACAAGGCUUUUAUCAGGGUAGUAGUGAUUAACAUAAUCGGUAACCCAUUGUUUUAUGGCAUCCCAGAGAUCAAGGCCAUCAUUGGCAAAAGGAUAGUCUUC
rnacentral:lncRNA from 1 species